AGAAUCAACGCUGGCGGCGUGCCUAACACAUGCAAGUCGAACGCGAAAGCCCCGCAAGGGGUAAGUAGAGUGGCAAACGGGUGAGUAACACGUGGGUGACCUGCCUUCGAGUGGGGGAUAACGUCCCGAAAGGGACGCUAAUACCGCAUAACAUCCUGCCUUUGAAGAGGUGGAGAUCAAAGCUGGGGACCGCAAGGCCUGGCGUUUGAAGAGGGGCCCGCGCCUGAUUAGCUAGUUGGUGAGGUAAUGGCUCACCAAGGCAACGAUCAGUA
rnacentral:rRNA from 1 species